CUGGCUUAGAACUAACGCUGGCAGUGCGUCUUAAGCAUGCAAGUCAAACGGGAUGUAGCAAUACAUCUAGUGGCGAACGGGUGAGUAACGCGUGGAUGAUCUACCUACGAGAUGGGGAUAACUAUUAGAAAUAGUAGCUAAUACCGAAUAAAGUCAAUUAAUUUGUUAAUUGAUGAAAGGAAGCCUUUAAAGCUUCGCUUGUAGAUGAGUCUGCGUCUUAUUAGCUAGUUGGUAGGGUAAAUGCCUACCAAGGCGAUGAUAAGUAACCGGCCUGAGAGGGUGAACGGUCACACUGGAACUGAGAUACGGUCCAGACUCCUACGGGAGGCAGCAGCUAAGAAUCUUCCGCAAUGGGCGAAAGCCUGACGGAGCGACACUGCGUGAAUGAAGAAGGUCGAAAGAUUGUAAAAUUCUUUUAUAAAUGAGGAAUAAGCUUUGUAGGAAAUGACAAAGUGAUGACGUUAAUUUAUGAAUAAGCCCCGGCUAAUUACGUGCCAGCAGCCGCGGUAAUACGUAAGGGGCGAGCGUUGUUCGGGAUUAUUGGGCGUA
rnacentral:rRNA from 1 species